AAAUAUACAUUUUUUUAGGCGUAGGCAGCAACGAUGCAAAUGGAUGAUGCAGUUUCGUUGACUGGUCACUCUGCUGAGGGAAACCAUGCCCGGAUGAGAUCAAAUAUGGAUGAAAAUCAGAGUGCAUCAAGCUUAGCUGCAGGGCCUCAUCUUAGCCUAGGCUUCAUUGAAUCACAGAAGAUGUGGAAUAAGUCGUGGAAUAUAUGAAGCAUUGAGGUUUGGAUGUUGCUGAUUUUAAAUAAAAAUUUAAUAAAACAAAUACUGUAAAACAGGGAUUUUUUUUUGUUGAACUAUGCCAUUGCAAGUACUAUUAAAACUCAAUAAUUAUUGUCGUGCAUAAAUACUCGAAAAGAGUAGACUCGGCAUAUUAUAAAUU